GCUUGGGGUGCUUGCAUCUGAGUUUGGUGGAUGGGGAAUAGUGUGGGAUUGGCUUAGGUCGAUGGUACCGUGGGGCUUUCCAGAGUCAAGGUGUCAUGUCCUUCUGGGGUUGGCUUAGGGUUAUGGUACCAUGGGUAGGUCACUAAUGGGGAUAGGGGGAGUUCGGAUAAGAGGAAGUAUAGGAAAAUGAAACUUAUAAGACGGUGGUUAACAUUUCAGAUGGCUGCUCGAAUGUUAAAUCAACACCCUAGAAGGCCCAAGUUACGUUUUUGCCUCUAAUCACAGAAAUUAACUCAAGCUUUGCAUUCAGCCUCCUAAUUCAGGUUUCCUAUUUGGAAUCACAGUUCUUCCUUUGGAUGCUAUGGAUUGCUGAUGUUAGGAAUGGAGCUAUAAAGUCAUCAGCUCUUAUUUCUCCACCCCUUGUGGUUUGCAGAAUCAGCUGCUUUAAAAAUAUAUACAUUUUCGGGCUGGGGAUGUGGCUCAACCGGUAGCGUGCUUGCCUGGUAUGCGUGCGGCCUGGGUUCGAUCCUCAGCACCACAUACAAACAAAGAUGUUGUGUC
rnacentral:lncRNA from 1 species